CCUACGGGAGGCAACAGUGAGGAAUAUUGGUCAAUGGACGGAAGUCUGAACCAGCCAUGCAGCGUGCAGGAUGACGGCCCUAUGAGUUGUAAACUGCUUUUGUACGAGGGUAAACCGCGAUACGUGUAUCGGGUUGCAUGUACCGUACGAAUAAGGAUCGGCUAACUCCGUGCCAGCAGCCGCGGUAAUACGGAGGGUCCGAGCGUUAUCCGGAUUUAUUGGGUUUAAAGGGUGCGUAGGCGGUUUGAUAAGUGAGAGGUGAAAUGUCGGGGCUCAACCCCGGAACUGCCUCUAGAACUGGUGGACUAGAGACUGGGUGCGGUAGGCGGAAUGUGUGGUGUAGCGGUGAAAUGCUUAGAGAUCAUACAGAACCCCGAUUGCGAAGGCAGCUUACCAAACUGUAUCUGACGUUGAGGCACGAAAGCGUGGGUAUCGAACAGGAUUAGAUACCCUAGUAGUC
rnacentral:rRNA from 1 species